CGGAUCUCAGAGGCUUGGGACAGCUUGAAUCCUCCUCCAGCCCUGAGAGCAUCAUGGCUGGCUGCAGCUGUGUCAUGCCAUCUGCUCUACAGGACCCAGGACAGCCCAGCAGAAACUAGCUGAAAGGUAGCUGGGCAGGAUGGAGGAGGAAAAACAGAAAGCACACACUGCUCGUGAACUUGUACACGGAUAUAAUACACAUGACUUCACGAAGCCCGUUGUCGUGUUUCCCAGCAGGCCUGCCUUGGGGGUCGAGCCGAUGUCAGCGAGUGGUGAUACAUCUACCAAGGAAGGGACAUCCCUGCCUCCUCUGCUGCAUUUCUAGAGCUUCUGAACGCUUCUGUCAUAAAGGAGCCUAUUAUAUUGUUGACCUGACCAUCUCCCCAACCAAAGCAGGACUCUGGGAGGAUUAGGAUGGCCUUUUAUUGUCUUGUCAUUUACACAAAGCCUGGACGUGGUGAAUGCCCUGCUGAAUUAAAUGGGACUGGAUGGACUGAUAGGGAUUGGAAGAAUGAAAUGAGAUUAGGUGGUUGUGUUGGAUCAGAGUAAAACGGAGUCUCUGAAUCCACUGGUUGGUGCCCAGUGUCAGUAAACGACCUUGGGCAGAACGUGGCGUAAGGUUGAACUAGCCUGGACGUGACCGUGAAUUUGGAUUGCCAGGGUGCCAGGAGUGGGAGCCAGCAGAUACAAAAGAAACAGACACAAAAGACUUCAGGUGUUUGGAUGAUCAGAGAGAGUGUGAUCAAUGGGCCAGACACACAGGAGAGAACUCAUGGGUCAGUGAUGAUACUUAAACGGUGAGAAAAUUGAGGCCCAGGUAGAAGAAAUGAGUGGUCCCACGUCAUACAGAGUCAUCAUCCAGUCCGCUAUGACUUGGAUGUGGUUUGACCUGCAGCAGUUCCCAUGGAACCUUGCCCCCCGCCCCCGUGUCCUGCAGUGAGGAGGUGGUGGAGCCUCAACAAGUGAGGCUUAGUGACGAGUGGUCACUGGGGAGGCUACGCUCAGAAAAAAAACAAGGACCCUGGUUAUUUCUCAAGAGACGGCUGUUACACAAGAGCAGAACUAGCCCCUCCCCAGUCUCUCCUAUCUCCAUGUGACCUCUCCCUCUCACAUGCACUCCUGCCAUGAUGUCAUCCCCGUGAUGUAAUGCAGCCAGAGGGGAUCUCCCCAGAGUUGGCACCAAGCUGUUUGGACUUCCAAAUUACUUACUGAAUUAUUGAAUUAUUUUUGCCUUCUACUGACCAUCACAGUCAAGACUGACACCUUUCCAAACUGUCUUCUUUUCUUCCACUAACUUAUCCUGAAAUUACCCUUUAAUAUGUUUGUUUUCUCACCUGUUCCUCGUGCCUCUAUUCCUCCCCACUUCUUGUCUUAUGAUGCAUUUGAAGCGACACUUCACUCCUAAGAAUUCCAGCACACAAACCACACAACUGAGUCAACAUUUGUUUACAGUUCUCUUUUUGGAGGAUAUAAUCUAAACACCAUGAAAUACACAUAUUUUAGGUUUAUCAAUGUGUAAGUUUCGAAGCUAUCGAGACAGUGGUCAUUAACAGGACCCCAGAAAGUUUUCUUAUGUCCCUUGUUCAGAGCCACUGUCUGCCGCAGCUCCAGCUGAGGCAUCAAUUUUUCUGAUUAUUGUCCUUACUAGAGUAGUCUGGCAUGCUCUAUUUGUAUAAAUAUGAUCAC
rnacentral:lncRNA from 1 species